rnacentral:lncRNA from 1 species
GUCAUAAAUUUAUGACUAGUUUCUGUGCUUCCCAAUGUCAUUGGUUUAGAGGAUUAUAGAACCUCAUACCCCCUUUGAUUCUGGGCCCCUGUAGCUUCCUCCCACUGCCCAUGGCUUUGUUUCACUGUGACUCUGGACUGUAUAGACUUAAGACAAUGUUUAAUAUAUUCCCUUGGAAAAUAGCCUGGUCUGAAACCACGUGGCCCCGAGAGACUUAUGGUCAGUGACAAGGAUGGCUGCUGUGCCCUGCACAGUGGUGUCCAGGUGCCCAUGACUGCUCCAUGCUGGAGUCGCGCCUCCAGUGUAGCCAAAUGACUCUAAUCUCGUGUGACUUUCAUUUCCCAAGUACUGUAGCGUCAUCUGUCAAACUGGCCUUUCUUUAAGAGACCAGGUGUUAAAGCCAUGUGGGACUGCCAGGCGACGGUCCUCUUUGUUAUCUUCUUUUUCCCAUGAACUGUUGAAGGGGAUAGUAUCAUGCCUGCCACCUGCAUGCAUGGGUGUGCAUGCAUGGGUGCUCAGUGUCACUGCAUCAUUAAUCGAAAGAUGCUGUUUUCAUUCCAUUCCAGUGCUAUCUCCUUGUUAACUUUUUCUUUUUUACAUUUAUUAUGAGCUACUGCAGUAGCUUUUAUUUUGGAUUUUACAAAUUAAUAGGAAAAGCAUUGAGCUUUGUCCUUUUUAUCUCCUAAAACUUUGAGUACUAAAAUUUGCAUUUAAAUGAAGACAGUUUCACUUUCUUUAGGCUGA